CCUUGUUGAGAAAGCAUGCUCUGGUGUAUUUAAAAAUGGCUCCUUUCCCUCUACCCCUGCUGGAAGCUUGAGGGAGUAGUUCUCAGGUAUUUACUAGGGGGAAUCUGGUCAAACUCCCGGAGGUAAAUCUCAUUGUUCUGGGGGUUUCCCAUGAUUGGAUCACCCUGGAGUUUUUAGCUCCUGGACUUGUCCACUUGGAGCCUACAGCAAUUUGUCAAUUAUGGUUCCAGGUUUCCUGCCCAGCACUGGUUCCCAGGGCCGUCUCUCCUCUGAAAUGUAAAAAGACUCCUAAAAUUGAUUUGGAGCUACCAAAGACCCUGGACAGCCAAAACAAUUUUGAGUAAGAAGAACAAAGCAAGCGCUAUUCCACUCCCUGAUUUUAAGAAAUAUUGCAAAGCUAUAGCAAUCGGCAAUGUGGUAUUGGCAUAACAACCUAGAGAUCAAUGGAACAGAAUACAGAGCCAGCAAUAAACCCUCGCGUAUAGAGUCAACUAAUAUUUGACCAGGGGAGCCAAAAACAGUCAAUGGGGGAAAAGUCUCUUUGUUAAAGGAUGCUGGGGAAAAUUGGAUAUUCACACGAAAGACAAUGAAAUUGGACCCUUGUGAACAAAAACCAGCUCACAGUGGAUUGAAGACUUAAAUGUAAAGCCUGAAACAAAAGACUCUUAGAAGGAAGCAGGAUAAAGGUUCUGACACUGGGCCAGACAAUUAUUUCUUUUGGCACCAAAAGCACAGGCAACAUAAAGCAAAAAUAAAAUGGGAUCACAUCAAACUAAAAAGCUGCUGUACAGCAAAGGGAGUCUUCGUCAAAGCAAAAAGGCAACCUAUGGAGUGGGUGAAAAUAUUUGCAGACCAUUUAUCUGAUAAGGAGUUAGUAGCCAACAUAUAUAAAGAACUCCUAUAUCUCAACAGCAAUAAAACCAAGCAAUUGAAUUAAAAAAAUAAGACCUUUUCUGGCCAAAAGACAAUUCCUUCUAAAGAAGACCUACAAAUGGCCAACAGGUAUGUGAAAAGGUGCUUCAUGUCACUAAUCCUCAGGAGAAGGCAAAUCAGAACAACAGUAAGUUAUUGCCUCCUUUACGGUUGGUUAUUAUAUCUAUAGAAAAAAAUAACAAUGGACAAGUCUUGGGGAAAGUAGGGAAAACGAUGUUCUUGGUGGUGGGAAAGUAAAUUAGUACAGCCACUAUGGAAAACAAUGUGGAGGUUUCUUAAAAUACUAAAACUAGAAUUAACACUUAAUUCAGCUGUGGAGAGCAAGAUGGAGUCACUCAUGUCAAGCAGGGACCUAAGCAGCCAAGGGCAUAGCAGCUAAGACCUGUUAUCACCAAAACCUGCACAGGCUGAAGGCACCCAGAACUGGUAACCAUCAAAGCCAGGAGAGCCUGGAAGAACUGAGGGCUGGUAAUCAUGAGGACCAGAAGAAGUUUGCAAAGGCCCAAGGCUGAUUAAACCCCUUUAAGAAGGGAUGGUUUCAGCAGCAUGCAUCACCUAUUGUCGGACUGUCAGACUCUUGAUGUGUACUCUUCCACAUCUGAUGGCCCUAAAGAGGCAGCCGCUGCUUAAGGCUCUGCCCAACUGGUCUGUGAACAUAGUAAAGAUUCUCCACUGCUUGAACAGAAUAAGCAGUGAGUGCCGAGAGCUGACCGGGAAGCAGACAGGGUCCUUACCUCAGGGAACACUCAUAGACUCACCUUGAGUUUGCUUUGUUAACUUCUUAUGCCUCACCAUAUCUUCUUUGUUGUGUGACUUCACGUUGUAGUUGGUGCGAUGUGUACGAAGCCAAGUUGUAGGUCAUUGAGUCGGGAAUCUUGAGUCGGCUUUAUAAUUAUGUUAACCUUACUUCAUGACUGAAUAAAGCUGCCUUGGUGGAAAGACA